UACGUAGGGGGCUAGGCGUUGUCCGGAAUCAUUGGCGUAAAGCGCGCGUAGGCGGCCCGGUAAGUCCGUUGUGAAAGUCAAAGGCUCAACCUUUGAAAGCCGAUGGAUACUGCCGGGCUGGAGUCCGGAAGAGGCGAGUGGAAUUCCUGGUGUAGCGGUGGAAUGCGCAGAUAUCAGGAGGAACACCAAUAGCGAAGGCAGCUCGCUGGGACGGUACUGACGCUGAGGCGCGAAAGCCAGGGGAGCAAACGGGG
rnacentral:rRNA from 1 species